AAUGUAAUAGCUAACUUUACUUAAAAAUAAAUAGUGAUCAUAACUAGUUGCUCCAUAAUUUGUUGACUCUACUAGCUUACAAUAAGUUGACACAGCAUUUUGGUGAGGAGAGUAAUUAAACUUAUCAUACUUAAGUAACCUUUACUGGAGAAGUAUGAGUGUCUCCACACCCUCCCAACAGUUGGUGGCGGUAAUGCACCAUGCUGGAUGCCAACCGCCAAUAAAAAUCAACGAAGAAGAGAUUGCACAUGCGCAGUUCCUCCUGAGACGUUGGAUUUGAACCUUCACGCGGCAAAAGAACGUUUGUCUGGAUUUGGUUUUUAAGCGUUAAUGCAGAGACUGCCAAGCAGGAAGUGCAAGCUUCACGCUCCCGCUCAAGGUUCUGUCAGAGUUCUUUCGCUUAACCAGCAAAAACCUCAAAAUCGAGUUUUUCAAAGAACUGGACAAAUACACUCCUUGCUGUCUUGACAUUUCCAAGUCCAAGGGUGGAUGUACCGGCCAGAUACUUAAGGCGUAUUUGCAUCAUCAAAUCACACUGGGGAAUACAGAUGUUACUACUAGGUGAACAGCAGUCCUCAGUGGCCUUCCCAUCCUCCUUGGAGAUGAGAACAAAGACUUCUUCAAGAUAUACUUUGACUGUGAUGAACCGGAACUGGCCAACACCUCCAUUGAGAUCCUAACAGUAAUCCCUGAAGGUACCCCACCUCAAGGAACACACCAACAUUUUGGGUUUUUAGCUUAUUCACUGUAUUCCCCAGAGUAAGAUAAGUCCAUACAUACCAUUUUCAUCUCUGUGUGUCCUGUAACUUUGUCUGACGCACCCACCGCUAGCUUAGCUUAGCACAAAGAUUGUAAGUAAAUGGCUUCAGCUAGCAUACUGCUCCCUAUAAGUGACAAAAUAACGCAAACAUUUUCCUAUUUAUA